rnacentral:rRNA from 1 species
UACGGAGGAUGCAAGCGUUAUCCGGAAUGAUUGGGCGUAAAGCGUCCGCAGGUGGCCAUGUAAGUCUGCUGUUAAAGAGUCUAGCUCAACUAGCUAAAAGCAGUGGAAACUACAUAGCUAGAGUACGUUCGGGGCAGAGGGAAUUCCUGGUGUAGCGGUGAAAUGCGUAGAGAUCAGGAAGAACACCAGUGGCGAAGGCGCUCUGCUAGGCCGUAACUGACACUGAGGGACGAAAGCUAGGGGAGCGAAUGGG